rnacentral:misc_RNA from 1 species
GAUGAAGAACGCAGCGAAAUGCGAUAAGUAGUGUGAAUUGCAGAAUUCAGUGAAUCAUCGAAUCUUUGAACGCACAUUGCGCCCUUUGGUAUUCCAAAGGGCAUGCCUGUUCGAGCGUCAUUUGUACCCUCAAGCUUUGCUUGUUGUUGGGCGUCUUGUCUCUAGCUUUGCUGGAGACUCGCCUUAAAGUAAUUGGCAGCCGGCCUACUGGUUUCGGAGCGCAGCACAAGUCGCACUCUCUAUCAGCAAAGGUCUAGCAUCCAUUAAGCCUUUUUUUCAACUUUUGACCUCGGAUCAGGUAGGGAUACCCGCUGAACUUAAGCAUAUCAAUAAGCGGAGGA